rnacentral:lncRNA from 1 species
CUCGGUCAACUUGAACCACUUGAUUAAAAAACUUAAACUAUUACAAAUAGCUACAUUUAUGUUAUUUAAAUCCUGCUUUCAACACGUAUAAAAAACAUACUAUUUCUUACUUGACCAGAAUAAAAAUAUAGGUGACCUUAAUAUAUUUUCAGGUAAAAGCAAGCUUGGAAGCACCAAGAAUCUACGCUUCCACUUCAAGGUGCUAGAGACAUUAUUGUUCCAUAAACACAAGUUAUGAAAAAAAUUUGACAUUCAAACACAGCAAAUACGAUUGCAAUGCUCUCCCAAAUAAUGAAAUCUCCAUAGUGAGGCAGUGAUUUUUUUCUUUAGACAUCAGUCAAGGUUCUGUGCGCUUUAGCCCUUUUUGUCAUCAGAGAUUUGGCAAGAACCUGUAGCACAAAUUCCUCGAGCAAGUUAUUUGUGAACCAACACUGAAAUUAAAAGCCGAAUCAAAAUAAUUGUUUCAAACUUGCUUACUUAACUAGGAUCAGAUUGACCCUCUCAUUAAAAAGCUUAAACUGUUAUACAGGGCCACGUAUCUUAUUUAAUAUUGUCUUCAACAAGUGCAAUAAACAUAAUACUACUUACUUUACCAGAAUGAAAACAUAGGUGACCUUGUUAAUGUAUUUUCGGGUGAAAACAAGUUGUGGAAGUAUCAAUAAUCUAUACUCGGCUAGUGACAUUAUCAAGCCAUCACUACAAGUAACAAGAAAAUUCAAAAAGUCACAUGCAGCAAAUGUGGUUGUAAUGCAUUACUGAUUACUGAACAAUGAAAUCUCCACAGUGAGGCAGUGAUUUUCAGUUUUCUUGAGAUCAUCAGUUGUAGAAAGUAGCAGAAAACUCAAACCACAAGAAAGCAUCGGCACCAAAAAAUUGCUCUAACUUUUAUGGCAUGUUUAGCAAUUUUGGACAGUAUAAUGAAGAAAAUGAAAGUAUGAUGACGGACACAUUUGAGCAAGAACUUAAAUUAUAGUAG